CCUGGUGGCUAUUGCGGGGAGCCUGCACCCGAUCCCAUUCCGAACUCGGCCGUGAAACUCCCCAGCGCCGAUGGUACUUCGUCUUAAGACGCGGGAGAGUAGGACACUGCCAGGC
rnacentral:rRNA from 1 species